AGAGUAACUGCUCGCACCUUGACGGUACCUAACCAGAAAGCCACGGCUAACUACGUGCCAGCAGCCGCGGUAAUACGUAGGUGGCAAGCGUUGUCCGGAAUUAUUGGGCGUAAAGGGCUCGCAGGCGGUUUCUUAAGUCUGAUGUGAAAGCCCCCGGCUCAACCGGGGAGGGUCAUUGGAAACUGGGAAACUUGAGUGCAGAAGAGGAGAGUGGAAUUCCACGUGUAGCGGUGAAAUGCGUAGAGAUGUGGAGGAACACCAGUGGCGAAGGCGACUCUCUGGUCUGUAACUGACGCUGAGGAGCGAAAGCGUGGGGAGCGAACAGGAUUAGAUACCCUGGUAGUCCACGCCGUAAACGAUGAGUGCUAAGUGUUAGGGGGUUUCCGCCCCUUAGUGCUGCAGCUAACGCAUUAAGCACUCCGCCUGGGGAGUACGGUCGCAAGACUGAAACUCAAAGGAAUUGACGGGGGCCCGCACAAGCGGUGGAGCAUGUGGUUUAAUUCGAAGCAACGCGAAGAACCUUACCAGGUCUUGACAUCCUCUGACAACCCUAGAGAUAG
rnacentral:rRNA from 1 species